rnacentral:rRNA from 1 species
CCUACGGGUGGCAGCAGUGAGGAAUAUUGGUCAAUGGACGAGAGUCUGAACCAGCCAAGUAGCGUGAAGGAUGACUGCCCUAUGGGUUGUAAACUUCUUUUAUAUGGGAAUAAAACGUUCCACGUGUGGGAUUUUGUAUGUACCAUAUGAAUAAGGAUCGGCUAACUCCGUGCCAGCAGCCGCGGUAAUACGGAGGAUCCGAGCGUUAUCCGGAUUUAUUGGGGUUAAAGGGAGCGUAGGUGGAUUGUUAAGUCAGUUGUGAAAGUUUGCGGCUAAACCGUAAAAUUGCAGUUGAAACUGGCAGUCUUGAGUACAGUAGAGGUGGGCGGAAUUCGUGGUGUAGCGGUGAAAUGCUUAGAUAUCACGAAGAACUCCGAUUGCGAAGGCAGUUCACUGGACUGCAACUGACACUGAGGCUCGAAAGUGUGGGUAUCAAACAGGAUUAGAUACCCUAGUAGUC